GUCUGAGAGGAUGGCCAGCCACACUGGGACUGAGAGACGGCCCAGACUCCUACGGGAGGCAGCAGUGGGGAAUCUUGCGCAAUGGCCGAAAGGCUGACGCAGCGACGCCGCGUGUGGGAGGAAGCUCUUCGGGGUGUAAACCACUGUUGCCCGGGACGAACGACGAGUUUUGACUCGCUUGACGGUACCGGGUGAGGAAGCACCGGCUAACUCUGUGCCAGCAGCCGCGGUAAUACAGAGGGUGCGAGCGUUGUCCGGAAUCACUGGGCGUAAAGGGCGCGUAGGCGGUUUGGUAAGGUUGCGGUGAAAGCCCGGGGCUCAACCCCGGGUCGGCCGUGGCAACUGCUGAGCUGGAGCACUGUAGAGGCAGGUUGAAUUCCGGGUGUAGCGGUGGAAUGCGUAGAGAUCCGGAAGAACACCGGUGGCGAAGGCGGCCUGCUGGGCAGUAGCUGACGCUGAGGCGCGACAGCGUGGGGAGCAAACAGGAUUAGAUACCCUGGUAGUCCACGCCGUAAACGAUGGGCACUAGAU
rnacentral:rRNA from 1 species